GUAUUCUCCACUGGUUGAAUGCAAAUGGAAGCCAGAGGAAAAGGGAACCCUUGACACAGUUUUCAUAUAGAUUGGCCUCCAGGGCAGACAGCAGGAGUGGGGUUUAAUCUGGACUGAAUUGGAGGAAAGGAACUGGCACCAGAGUGGAGGCUGGAAGGAUGGUGGAACUGACACUGGGACAGAACACAGAAAACAGAAUCUAAUGCUAUUGCUCUGGCUAUAUCAAAUAAAAGUGUCAAGAGUGAGCAUCCUUGCCUUGUGCUGAAUCACAAAGGAAUACCUUUCAGUUUUUCUCCAUUGAUUAUGAUAGCAGUGGGCUUUUCACAGUGGGCUUUACUGUGUUGAGGUACCCUAAUGACAAGUUCACCCCAGUGUUUUCUGAGGAGUCUACCUGGAAAUGAGAACCAUCUGUCCUUCCUAUAGUAGUUCUUCUCAGAAUGCCGACUCUAUGCUAAUGGCUACCCACAGAUCCAGGGCCAUAAAUAACUGCCAAAGAAGAGAAGCCUUCUCUCUUCUCUGCUGUUGCUUCAUUUUAUAGUCUCAGGAAAUCUCAUCAUAGAAGUGCCUUUCACCUUCUGCCAUGAUUGUGAGGCUUCGCUAGCUACGUGGAAC
rnacentral:lncRNA from 10 species